rnacentral:rRNA from 1 species
CCUACGGGAGGCAGCAGUGAGGAAUAUUGGUCAAUGGGCGGGAGCCUGAACCAGCCAAGUCGCGUGAGGGAAGACGGUCCUAUGGAUUGUAAACCUCUUUAGGCGGGGAGCAAUGCCGGGCACGCGUGCCCGGAGGGAGAGUACCCGCAGAAUAAGCAUCGGCUAACUCCGUGCCAGAAGCCGCGGUAAUACGGAGGAUGCGAGCGUUAUCCGGAUUUAUGGGGUUUAAAGGGUGCGUAGGCGGAUUUUUAAGUCAGCGGUAAAAUGUCCGGGCUCAACCCGGGCCGGCCGUUGAAACGGGGGAUCUUGAGUGGGCGAGAAGUAUGCGGAAUGCGUGGUGUAGCGGUGAAAUGCAUAGAUAGCACGCAGAACUCCGAUUGCGAAGGCAGCAUACCGGCGCCCGACUGACGCUGAGGCACGAAAGCGUGGGGAUCGAACAGGAUUAGAUACCCUGGUAGUC